rnacentral:tRNA from 60 species
GUCCGUAUAGCUCAGUUGGUCAGAGCAAUUGACUCAUAAUCAAUAGGUCGGUGGUUCAAGCCCACCUACGGACA